UCUGCCCCCCCCACACUGUGUUCUGCCCCAUGUAGCUCCCCGCCUUUCUGUUGUUGCUGUCAUGUUGUUACCCCUGGUGUUAUAUUCUCCCUCACACCUCCCAAUACCCUAUCAAGAGACCUGCACACACACACACACACACACACACACACACACACACACACACACACACACACACACACACACACACACACACACACACAGGGUAGAUGUUAUCAGCCGGAUCACUAAGAUAGACGUCUGAAAAGGACCCAGGUGUGUGGAUAUAUGCCUUCGUUGGUGCUCAUCAAAAGAGAAGAAGAAGGAUUGACCAGAUCUGGGCGUGACCUUGUUAUGCUCAGAGCGUGCGGUUCAGAUUACUACGCCACACCACAAUUGUUCCAGCAAGCCGCGGAAUUAAUGCGGCACAAAUAGACGUUCAUCCAUAAUACGUGGAAAUCCGAAAGGAAACUCCAGCCAGCAGACCUGCUGCGAUGAUUAUUCAGGAUGACAGAACCACAGAGAGAUCAUAUCUGAUUGUAGUGUGUGUGUGUGUGUGUGUAUGUGUGUGUGUGUGUGUGUGUGUGUGUUAGACUCGUCAGAUAGUAGGGCAGUUCAGGAGUGUUCUGUCCACGAGAGGCUGCUGUAGGGACCCGUGCAAUGAACAGAGUGUGUGUGUGUGCAUUUGUUUGGGUAUGUUUGGGUAUGUGUGUGUUAGAGUGUGUUAGAGUGUGUUAGAGUGUGUUUGAGACAUGCCAGAAAGCAAUACAGGUGUUCUGUUAGUUAGUGUGUCCCUUGUUAGAAACGACAUGAGAGGAAGAAAGUUCCUGCAAAGACUGGGAAUCACACAACAACAGAAGCUAUCAAUAUACGCAGUACUUUACAAUGGAUUUGGUCUAGCCUGGGUGUAGCCUGGGUCUAGUUCUGCCCUGGGUCUGCUGGCAGGGUUGGAAGGGAUGAAAGCAGAACGCGAUACCUGUGGAUCCUGAUGUUGUGAAGGGAAAAUUCCUUGUUAUAGUAAUACCACCGAGCAAUAGUCAGACAGACAGUGGGUUGUCAUAGUAAUACCACCGAGCAAUAGUCAGACAGACAGGGGGUUGUCAUAGUAAUACCACCAAGCAAUAGUCAGACAGACAGGGGGUUGUCAUAGUAAUACCACCGAGCAAUAGUCAGACAGACGGGAGUUGUCAUAGUAAUACCACCGAGCAAUAGUCAGACAGAUGGGAGUUGUCAUAGUAACACCACCGUGCAAUAGUCAGACAGACAGGGGGUUGUCAUAGUAACAUCACCGAGCAAUAGUCAGACAGACGGGAGUUGUCAUAGUAACACCACCAAGCAAUAGUCAGAGACAGGAGGUUGUCAUAGUAACACCACCGAGCAAGACAUACGGACAGGGGGUUGUCAUAGUAACACCGCCGAGCAAUAGUCAGGCAGACAGGUGGUUGUCAUAGCAACACUGUGAGCAAUAGUCAGACAGACAGGGGGUUGUCUUAGAAGAGCAUCCCACACAGGGAAUGCUGGGAAAUGGAUUUUAAAUUUGAUUUUUGAAUCCCACAACAAGAGUCAAUGGUUAACGACAGCUGCUCCUGUCAUCAACCAUCUCAGCCACUCAGAACAAGCCUGGGACAGAGUGUGUGUUUGUGUGUGUUAUUUCUUUGAGACCAGUGGAAACUAAUGACUGCAUGUUGCCUUAUUAUGCACUCAAAUUCACACACACACACGCGCACACACAGGUACCUGCACAAACCCCAGAUCCAUACACACAGCACACAAACAAAAACAUAAACACUCCCACACCACGUUUAAGUUGGCAUCGAAGCGGACUUGCUGAUUUUAUAAACAGUACCAGUGAAUUAAAGACGGUUUUGUUGAAAUCCAAA